rnacentral:rRNA from 1 species
UACAUGCAAGUCGAGCGAAUGACGAGGAGCUUGCUCCUCUGAUUUAGCGGCGGACGGGUGAGUAACACGUGGGUAAUCUGCCUGUAAGACGGGGAUAACUCCGGGAAACCGGGGCUAAUACCGGAUAACAAGAGAGGAAGCAUUUCUUCUUUUUGAAAGUCGGUUUCGGCUGACACUUACAGAUGAGCCCGCGGCGCAUUAGCUAGUUGGUGAGGUAACGGCUCACCAAGGCGACGAUGCGUAGCCGACCUGAGAGGGUGAUCGGCCACACUGGGACUGAGACACGGCCCAGACUCCUACGGGAGGCAGCAGUAGGGAAUCUUCGGCAAUGGGCGAAAGCCUGACCGAGCAACGCCGCGUGAGCGAUGAAGGCCUUCGGGUCGUAAAGCUCUGUUGUUAGAGAAGAACAAGUACGAGAGUAACUGCUCGUACCUUGACGGUACCUAACCAGAAAGCCACGGCUAACUACGUGCCAGCAGCCGCGGUAAUACGUAGGUGGCAAGCGUUAUCCGGAAUUAUUGGGCGUAAAGCGCGCGCAGGCGGUCUCUUAAGUCUGAUGUGAAAGCCCACGGCUCAACCGUGGAGGGUCAUUGGAAACUGGGAGACUUGAGUGCAGGAGAAGAAAGUGGAAUUCCACGU